UACGGGGGGGGCAAGCGUUGUUCGGAAUUACUGGGCGUAAAGGGCUCGUAGGCGGCCAACUAAGUCAUACGUGAAAUCCCUCGGCUUAACCGGGGAACUGCGUCUGAUACUGGAUGGCUUGAGGUUGGGAGAGGGAUGCGGAAUUCCAGGUGUAGCGGUGAAAUGCGUAGAUAUCUGGAGGAACACCGGUGGCGAAGGCGGCAUCCUGGACCAACACUGACGCUGAGGAGCGAAAGCCAGGGGAGCAAACGGG
rnacentral:rRNA from 1 species